rnacentral:rRNA from 1 species
ACCGGCGCACGGGUGAGUAACACGUAUCCAACCUGCCCUUUACUCGGGGAUAGCCUUUCGAGAGAAAGAUUAAUACCCGAUGUAAAGGAUGGGGAUGCGUUCCAUUAGGUUGUUGGUGAGGUCACGGCUCACCAAGCCUUCGAUGGAUAGGGGUUCUGAGAGGAAGGUCCCCCACAUUGGAACUGAGACACGGUCCAAACUCCUACGGGAGGCAGCAGUGAGGAAUAUUGGUCAAUGGGCGCUAGCCUGAACCAGCCAAGUAGCGUGAAGGAUGAAGGCUUAUGGGUCGUAAACUUCUUUUAUAUAAGAAUAUGUAUUAUAUGAAUAAGGAUCGGCUAACUCCGUGCCAGCAGCCGCGGUAAUACGGAGGAUCCGAGCGUUAUCCGGAUUUAUUGGGUUUAAAGGGAGCGUAGGUGGACUGGUAAGUCAGUUGUGAAAGUUUGCGGCUCAACCGUAAAAUUGCAGUUGAUACUGUCAGUCUUGAGUACAGUAGAGGUGGGCGGAAUCCGUGGUGUAGCGGUGAAAUGCUUAGAUAUCACGAAGAACUCC